GAUGAACGCUGGCGGCAUGCCUUACACAUGCAAGUCGAACGGCAGUACGGGUGCUUGCACCUGGUGGCGAGUGGCGAACGGGUGAGUAAUACAUCGGAACGUACCUUAUCGUGGGGGAUAACGCAGCGAAAGCUGUGCUAAUACCGCAUACGCCCUGAGGGGGAAAGCGGGGGAUCGAAAGACCUCGCGCGAUUAGAGCGGCCGAUGCCUGAUUAGCUUGUUGGUGGGGUAAAAGCCCACCAAGGCGACGAUCAGUAGCUGGUCUGAGAGGACGAUCAGCCACACUGGGACUGAGACACGGCCCAGACUCCUACGGGAGGCAGCAGUGGGGAAUUUUGGACAAUGGGGGCAACCCUGAUCCAGCAAUGCCGCGUGAGUGAAGAAGGCCUUCGGGUUGUAAAGCUCUUUUGUCAGGGAAGAAACACCGGCUCUAACACAGUCCGGGAAUGUCGGUACCUGAAGAAUAAGCACCGGCUAACUACGUGCCAGCCGCCGCAGUAA
rnacentral:rRNA from 1 species